ACUCAAUAGAUACCCGGGUAGUCCUAGCCUUAAACGAUGGAUGCUUGGUGUCUGGGGUAAUAAAGUCCCCGGGUGCCGUCGCUAAACGCUUUUAGCAUCCCGCCUGGGGAGUACGGUCGCAAGACUGAAACUCAAAGGAAUUGACGGGGACCCGCACAAGCGGUGGAGCAUGUGGUUUAAUUCGACGCAACGCGAAGAACCUUACCUGGGCUAGAAUGCCUCUGACCACUCCAGAGAUGGAGAUUCCCAUGGAAACAUGGGCAGACGUGCAACGGUGCUGCAUGGCUAGUCGUCAGCUCGU
rnacentral:rRNA from 1 species